GAUGAACGCUGGCGGCGUGCCUAAUACAUGCAAGUCGAGCGAACGGACGAGAAGCUUGCUUUUCUGAUGUUAGCGGCGGACGGGUGAGUAACACGUGGAUAACCUACCUAUAAGACUGGGAUAACUUCGGGAAACCGGAGCUAAUACCGGAUAAUAUUUUGAACCGCAUGGUUCAAAAGUGAAAGACGGUCUUGCUGUCACUUAUAGAUGGAUCCGCGCUGCAUUAGCUAGUUGGUAAGGUAACGGCUUACCAAGGCAACGAUGCAUAGCCGACCUGAGAGGGUGAUCGGCCACACUGGAACUGAGACACGGUCCAGACUCCUACGGGAGGCAGCAGUAGGGAAUCUUCCGCAAUGGGCGAAAGCCUGACGGAGCAACGCCGCGUGAGUGAUGAAGGUCUUCGGAUCGUAAAACUCUGUUAUUAGGGAAGAACAUAUGUGUAAGUAACUGUGCACAUCUUGACGGUACCUAAUCAGAAAGCAACGGCUAACUACGUG
rnacentral:rRNA from 1 species